GCGUGCCUAAUACAUGCAAGUCGAGCGAACAGAUAAGGAGCUUGCUCCUUUGACGUUAGCGGCGGACGGGUGAGUAACACGUGGGUAACCUACCUAUAAGACUGGGAUAACUUCGGGAAACCGGAGCUAAUACCGGAUAACAUUUGGAACCGCAUGGUUCUAAAGUGAAAGAUGGUUUUGCUAUCACUUAUAGAUGGACCCGCGCCGUAUUAGCUAGUUGGUAAGGUAACGGCUUACCAAGGCAACGAUACGUAGCCGACCUGAGAGGGUGAUCGGCCACACUGGAACUGAGACACGGUCCAGACUCCUACGGGAGGCAGCAGUAGGGAAUCUUCCGCAAUGGGCGAAAGCCUGACGGAGCAACGCCGCGUGAGUGAUGAAGGGUUUCGGCUCGUAAAACUCUGUUAUUAGGGAAGAACAAACGUGUAAGUAACUAUGCACGUCUUGACGGUACCUAAUCAGAAAGCCACGGCUAACUACGUGCCAGCAGCCGCGGUAAUACGUAGGUGGCAAGCGUUAUCCGGAAUUAUUGGGCGUAAAGCGCGCGUAGGCGGUUUCUUAAGUCUGAUGUGAAAGCCCACGGCUCAACCGUGGAGGGUCAUUGGAAACUGGGAAACUUGAGUGCAGAAGAGGAAAGUGGAAUUCCAUGUGUAGCCGUGAAAUGCGCAGAGAUAUGGAGGAACACCAGUGGCGAAGGCGACUUUCUGGUCUGUAACUGACGCUGAUGUGCGAAAGCGUGGGGAUCAAACAGGAUUAGAUACCCUGGUAGUCCACGCCGUAAACGAUGAGUGCUAAGUGUUAGGGGGUUUCCGCCCCUUAGUGCUGCAGCUAACGCAUUAAGCACUCCGCCUGGGGAGUACGACCGCAAGGUUGAAACUCAAAUGAAUUGACGG
rnacentral:rRNA from 1 species